rnacentral:rRNA from 1 species
UACAGAGGGUGCGAGCGUUGUCCGGAAUCACUGGGCGUAAAGGGCUCGUAGGCGGCCAACUAAGUCGGACGUGAAAUCCCUCGGCUUAACCGGGGAACUGCGUCCGAUACUGGAUGGCUUGAGUAUGGGAGAGGGAUGCGGAAUUCCAGGUGUAGCGGUGAAAUGCGUAGAUAUCUGGAGGAACACCGGUGGCGAAGGCGGCAUCCUGGACCAUUACUGACGCUGAGGAGCGAAAGCCAGGGGAGCAAACGGG